GCACCAGCCCUGAAAAUGGAUGGCGCUUUAGCGUUCUGCCUAUACCCAACCGCUAGAAUGGAGCUGGCACUUCGGUGCAGGGUCCGUAUAUUCUAGUGAGUAAGGAGGUGUGAUGGUAAGCGUUGAAGGGUCUGGGUGUAAACCUGCCUGGAGCUGCCAUCGGCACAGAUCUUGGUGGUAGUAGCAAAUACUCAAGUGAGAUCCUUGAGGGCUGACGUGGAGAAGGGUUCCAUGUGAACAGCAAUUGCACAUGGGUGAGUCGUUCCUAAGCCAAAGGCGAAAGCCACGCUCAUAAACUUGUGGCCACAUGAAUUUUAACUACGUGCCAGAAGCAGCCCCAACUUUACUACGAAAGCUGUUAUCUUCCUGCAAAAAAGACUGGUUUUCUCGAGUGACUUUGUGUCCUCCGCCUCUCUACAGUAUCUGACCAGCAGUCAUUCAACGGUUGAAAUAUAACUGCCAUAAUGACCCAGAGUUGUAGAGUUGGUUGGGAUACGAGACUUCUCUUGAGAGCCAAGUUAUCAGGGUCGAUUUCGGUGGUGGUAUAAUCUGGGCUCGUGGAAGCACUAAUUUUCUGAGUGAGCCUGCAAGGAGUUUGGCGAAAGGGAAUCCGGUACUCAUUCCGGAACCUGGACAUGAGGAGUAGUGUUGCUUUAUGCAUCACAUAGCCGCAAGGCGUUUACCAUCCUGGAGAAUCCAACCAGAGAGCUGGGAAGAGUUGUCUUUUCUGCUUAAGGGGAAGAGGGCCUUGUGAACUGGGUCGGUCAGAGAGAGGGUCUUUUCCCCGAAUAGCACCGCGGUUCUUGCGGAGUCCAGCUCCUCUGGUAUGGAACUUGAAAAUCCAGGGGUAAGAUGAAAUACCUUCAUGCCAGUUCGUACCCAUAUCCGCAUCUGGUCUCCAAGGUGAACAGCCUCUUGCCGA
rnacentral:rRNA from 1 species